GGCCCUACGGGGCGCAGCAGUGGGGAAUAUUGCACAAUGGGGGAAACCCUGAUGCAGCGACGCCGCGUGAGUGAAGAAGUAUUUCGGUAUGUAAAGCUCUAUCAGCAGGGAAGAAAAUGACGGUACCUGACUAAGAAGCCCCGGCUAACUCCGUGCCAGCAGCCGCGGUAAUACGGGGGGUGCAAGCGUUGUCCGGAAUCAUUGGGCGUAAAGCGUUCGUAGGCGGUAUGUCAAGUCUGAUGUUAAAGCCCGGGGCUCAACUCCGGUUCGGCAUUGGAUACUGGCAAACUAGAAUGUGGUAGAGG
rnacentral:rRNA from 1 species